rnacentral:rRNA from 1 species
GGAUUGCCUCAGUAACGGCGAGUGAAGCGGCAACAGCUCAAAUUUGAAAUCUGACCCCGUCGGGGCCCGAGUUGUAAUUGGUAGAGGAUGUUUCGGGCGCGGUGCCGGUCUAGGUUCCUUGGAACAGGACGUCAUAGAGGGUGAGAAUCCCGUACGUGACCGGCGACCAACCCCAUGCGAAACCCCUUCGACGAGUCGAGUUGUUUGGGAAUGCAGCUCAAAAUGGGUGGUAAAUUUCAUCUAAAGCUAAAUACCGGCCAGAGACCGAUAGCGCACAAGUAGAGUGAUCGAAAGAUGAAAAGCACUUUGGAAAGAGAGUCAAACAGUACGUGAAAUUGUUGAAAGGGAAGCGCUUGCAACCAGACCUGUCCGCGGGCGAUCAACCGCUCUUCUGAGCGGUGCACUCGUCCGCGAUCAGGCCAGCAUCGGUCUGGGCGGCUGGAUAAAGGCCCCGAGAAUGUACCUCCCCUCGGGGAGUCUUAUAGCCCGGGGUGCAAUGCUGCCAGCCCGGACCGAGGACCGCGCUUCGGCUAGGAUGCUGGCGUAAUGGUUGUAAGCGACCCGUCUUGAAACACGGACCAAGGAGUCUAACAUCUAUGCGAGUGUUUGGGUGUCAAACCCAUGCGCGUAAUGAAAGUGAACGGAGGUGGGAACCCGCGAGGGGGCACCAUCGACCGAUCCAGAUGUCUUCGGAUGGAUUUGAGUACGAGCAUAGCUGUUGGGACCCGAAAGAUGGUGAACUAUGCCUGAAUAGGGUGAAGCCAGAGGAAACUCUGGUGGAGGCUCGCAGCGGUUCUGACGUGCAAAUCGAUCGUCAAAUUUGGGUAUAGGGGCGAAAGGUAAGCUCUUUUGUUUUUUUUCCGAUUCGCGUCAACAUUUUCGACGGUACACAAGCUAACAUUCGAAAGACUAAUCGAACCAUCUAGUAGCUGGUUCCUGCCGAAGUUUCCCUCAGGAUAGCAGUAACGUUUUCAGUUUUAUGAGGUAAAGCGAAUGAUUAGAGGCCUUGGGGUUGAAACAACCUUAACCUAUUCUCAAACUUUAAAUAUGUAAGAAGUCCUUGUUACUUAGUUGAACGUGGACAUUUGAAUGCACCGUUACUAGUGGGCCAUUUUUGGUAAGCAGAACUGGCGAUGCGGGAUGAACCGAACGCGAGGUUAAGGUGCCGGAAUGCACGCUCAUCAGACACCACAAAAGGUGUUAGUUCAUCCAGACAGCCGGACGGUGGCCAUGGAAGUCGGAAACCGCUAAGGAGUGUGUAACAACUCACCGGCCGAAUGAACUAGCCCUGAAAAUGGAUGGCGCUCAAGCGUGCUACCCAUACCUCGCCGCCAGGGUAGAAACGAUGCCCU